UUCACAGCCAUAUCACCCUGCAGCUCAAGACUGGUCACCCACUGAAGCUAAGCAGGGUUGAGCCUGGUCAGUACUUGGAUGGGAGACCUGCUGGGAAAACUAGGUUGCUGUUGGAA
rnacentral:rRNA from 1 species